GGAUUGCGNAUGGGGGAACCCUGACGCAGCAACGCCGCGUGAGUGAUGAAGGCCUUCGGGUCGUAAAGCUCUGUCAGGUGGGAAGAACAAGGAAAUUCCGAACAAGGAUUUCCUUUGACGGUACCACCAGAGGAAGCACCGGCUAACUCCGUGCCAGCAGCCGCGGUAAUACGGAGGGUGCAAGCGUUGUUCGGAAUCACUGGGCGUAAAGCGCGUGUAGGCGGCCUGUUAAGUCAGGUGUGAAAUCCCUUGGCUCAACCAAGGAACUGCAUCUGAAACUAGCUGGCUUGAGUACGGGAGAGGAGAGUGGAAUUCCCGGUGUAGAGGUGAAAUUCGUAGAUAUCGGGAAGAACACCGGUGGCGAAGGCGGCUCUCUGGACCGAUACUGACGCUGAGACGCGAAAGCGUGGGGAGCAAACAGGAUUAGAUACCCUGGUAGUCCACGCUGUAAACGAUGGGCACUAGGUGUGGAGGGUAUUGACCCCCUCUGUGCCGCAGCUAACGCAUUAAGUGCCCCGCCUGGGAAGUACGGCCGCAAGGCUAAAACUCAAAAGAAUUGACGGA
rnacentral:rRNA from 1 species